rnacentral:rRNA from 1 species
GGCUCAGGACGAACGCGGGCGGCGUGCUUAACACAUGCAAGUCGAACGGUAAGGCCCUUUCGGGGGUACACGAGUGGCGAACGGGUGAGUAACACGUGGGUGAUCUGCCCUGCACUUUGGGAUAAGCCUGGGAAACUGGGUCUAAUACCGAAUACACCUUGCUGGUCGCAUGGCCUGGUGGGGGAAAGCUUUUGCGGUGUGGGAUGGGCCCGCGGCCUAUCAGCUUGUUGGUGGGGUGAUGGCCUACCAAGGCGACGACGGGUAGCCGGCCUGAGAGGGUGUCCGGCCACACUGGGACUGAGAUACGGCCCAGACUCCUACGGGAGGCAGCAGUGGGGAAUAUUGCACAAUGGGCGCAAGCCUGAUGCAGCGACGCCGCGUGAGGGAUGACGGCCUUCGGGUUGUAAACCUCUUUCACUAGGGACGAAGCGCAAGUGACGGUACCUAGAGAAGAAGCACCGGCCAACUACGUGCCAGCAGCCGCGGUAAUACGUAGGGUGCGAGCGUUGUCCGGAAUUACUGGGCGUAAAGAGCUCGUAGGUGGUUUGUCGCGUUGUCCGUGAAAACCUGAGGCUUAACCUUGGGCGUGCGGGCGAUACGGGCAGACUGGAGUACUGCAGGGGAGACUGGAAUUCCUGGUGUAGCGGUGGAAUGCGCAGAUAUCAGGAGGAACACCGGUGGCGAAGGCGGGUCUCUGGGCAGUAACUGACGCUGAGGAGCGAAAGCGUGGGGAGCGAACAGGAUUAGAUACCCUGGUAGUCCACGCCGUAAACGGUGGGUACUAGGUGUGGGUUUCCUUCCUUGGGAUCCGUGCCGUAGCUAACGCAUUAAGUACCCCGCCUGGGGAGUACGGCCGCAAAGCUAAAACUCAAAU